rnacentral:rRNA from 1 species
GUACCUACGGGACGCCGCAGUAGGGCCUUUUCGCCCAUGGGCGCAAGCCUGAACGAGCAAUGCCGCGUGAACGAGGAAGGUCUUCGGAUCGUAAAGUUCUGUUGAAGGGGAAAAAGAGCGGAGAGAGGAAAUGGUCUCCGAUUGAUAUUACCCUUCGAGGAAGUCACGGCUAACUACGUGCCAGCAGCCGCGGUAAUACGUAGGUGGCGAGCGUUAUCCGGAAUGAUUGGGCGUAAAGGGUGCGUAGGCGGCCUGCUAAGUCUGGAGUGAAAGGUACCGGCUCAACCGGUACAGGCUCUG